UGGGGAAUAUUGGACAAUGGGCGCAAGCCUGAUCCAGCCAUGCCGCGUGAGUGAUGAAGGCCUUAGGGUUGUAAAGCUCUUUUUACCAGGGAAGAUAAUGACGGUACCUGGAGAAUAAGCCCCGGCUAACUUCGUGCCAGCAGCCGCGGUAAUACGAAGGGGGCUAGCGUUGCUCGGAAUCACUGGGCGUAAAGUGCACGUAGGUGGGUCAUUAAGUCAGGGGUGAAAUCCUGGAGCUCAACUCCAGAACUGCCUUUGAUACUGAUGAUCUUCGAGUCCGGGAGAGGUGGGUGGAACUGCGAGUGUAGAGGUGAAAUUCGUAGAUAUUCGCAAGAACACCAGUGGCGAAGGCGGCUCACUGGCCCGGUACUGACACUGAGGUGCGAAAGCGUGGGGAGCAAACAGGAUUAGAUACCCCCGUAGUCCCUGAGCGGGCUGGCAAGGCGCAU
rnacentral:rRNA from 1 species